CACACUGGAACUGAGACACGGUCCAGACUCCUACGGGAGGCAGCAGUGCUGAAUUAUUCGCCAAUGCGCGAAAGCGUGACGGUGCGACGCCGCGUGCGGGACGAAGGCUUUCGAGUCGUAAACCGCUGUCAGGGUCUAGGAAACCGCAGUCGUUAAUAGCGGCUGUGCUGACCAGGCCCAAAGGAAGCACAGGCUAAUCUCGUGCCAGCAGCCGCGGUAAUACGAGAUGUGCAAGCGUUGUUCGGAAUCACUGGGCAUAAAGGGUGCGCAGGCGGCUUAGUAAGUCAGGGGUGAAAUCCCUCGGCUCAACCGGGGAAUUGCUUUUGAUACUGCUAAGCUUGAGAGCGAAAGGGGCAAGUGGAAUUCCAGGUGUAGCGGUGGAAUGCGUAGAUAUCUGGGAGAACGCCGAUGGCGAAGGCAGCUUGCUGGGUCGCUUCUGACGCUCAGGCACGAAAGCUAGGGGAGCAAACAGGAUUAGAUACCCUGGUAGUCCUAGCUGUAAACGUUGGGUACUAGGUUCCGGGAUUUCUGAUGAUUUCGGGGCCGCAGUUAAUGCAUUAAGUACCCCGCCUGGGGAGUAUGGUCGCAAGGCUAAAACUCAAAGGAAUUGACGGGGGCUCACACAAGCGGUGGAGCAUGUUGUUCAAUUCGAAGCAACGCGAAGAACCUUACCUGGCCUUGACAUGCUAGAAGUACGAACCUGAAAGGGGGAGGACCGGUAUCCAGUCCGGAACUAGCACAGGUGCUGCAUGGCUGUCGUCAGCUCGUGUCGUGAGACGUUGGGUUAAGUCCCGUAACGAGCGAAACCCUUGUCGUCUGUUGCUACCAGGUAAUGCUGGGCACUCUGGCGAGACUGCCGGUGUUAAACCGGAGGAAGGUGGGGACGACGUCAAGUCAUCAUGGUCCUUACGGCCAGGGCUACAAACGUGCUACAAUGGCAGGUACAGAGAGAAGCGAUACCGCGAGGUGGAGCAAAUCUUCAAAACCUGCCCCAGUUCGGAUUGGAGGCUGCAAUUCGCCUCCAUGAAGUUGGAAUCGCUAGUAAUCGCGGAUCAGCAACGCCGCGGUGAUACGUUCCUGAGCCUUGUACACACCGCCCGUCAAGCCACCCAAGCUGGAAGCACCCGAAGUCCGGCGCC
rnacentral:rRNA from 1 species